UGUAUGCCUAUAAAUCCAAAAAGCUCCUGAAAUUUUCACUGCCCAGAAAUAUGCAGUUUCUGAUGGAAAACCUGAUUUUAAAUAACAAAUAAUGUAAAGAUGCUGAAGCCAGAAAGAAGUCAUGGUGACUUACCUGACAACUGUGGGAUCUGUCUUUUAUUUUUUAUUUUUUUUCCAGAACACAUGCUGAUAUCCCGUUUUGAUCCCUUUUCUUGGAAGCAUUGAAUGCUGGUGAUCAUCUGAAGUAAUGGCCUGCAUGGUGGAGGGAAUAGAGGCUACCUUGGCUUUAAUACGAGGAAAGCAGAACGGGCACAGAAGCACAGAAGCUGGGAGAGACUCUUGGCUGACACCAAACCAACCUCCUGCUCUGAGGGGUGACUUUUUUGGUCACAAUGACUUUUGCGGGGAAACUGCUGCAUUGAGAUUAAACAGCAAGUCCCUUAGGGGAGAUAACUAGACCAAUGAAAUACCAGUAGCAGAAAUUUAGAACAAAUAGCGAAAUGCAGUUCCCUUAAUACAUCAGUCAUUGCAUAUGUAGCCGUACAAUAUAAAGUAUUAGAGCGACCAAUUCUGCUACUUGAUUUCAAAAGGUGAUGCAACUGCAAUGGGCUGUUUUUGCUGUGAACUCACAUACUUUUUAAAGGAAGCUCCACCAAUACUAUCAGUUAUAGGCAGUUUUGUUAAGUCAUUCUGUUACCAUCUAAUUCCAAUUAUUUCAAAGCCAGUGCAGUUUUAUACUCCUAGGGAGGGUCCUGUUAGAGCCUUGUGUCUACCCACUUUUAAAUGCAUUCUUAUUACAAAGACAUAUAUAGUUCCCAUUACACAACAGUGAUAUAAAGCAUAAAUAUGUAUAUUUGUAUAAAAAUAGAUAGAUAAUAUGAACAAACAUGCGUGGGUAUAAUACUUCCUGAAUUGCUUUUCAUUACUUGCUGUCUAAUGGUAGUGAUGUUACUGGUAUGGACAUAGAAUGUGAUUUUUUUCAGAGAAAGAAGAAAGAAAGAUUAUAAGAAAAUGAAAUAUACUAAAGAGUUGGUGCAUGUUUUAAUGACAUUUUGUGAGUUCUGCUGGUAUUUGUAAAAGUGUUUUUAAUACUUUAUUUUCCUAUUUUCUUUUACUUUGAGAAAAGCUGCUAAUGUUUUCUUGAGACAAAAAUCCAUGGGAAAGUAGUAAAGGCUCUGGCAACAAUCAAGACCUAUUAUUGUACUUGUGUUUAAUUCUGGUAUGAUUUAUUUACCUAUGUUUUUCUAUUGGAAGAGUUUUGUUUCCACAAAUAGUAGUUAUUAAUUUUUCUAACUGAAGACUGAAGUAUUCAGUUUUCCUGUAUUGCUAUGAUCACAUUAUUUUCCAUGCUGGUUGUUGCCUGGCAAUAACAUGUUCUUUAGUGUUCUUAAUAAAGGUGGCCAUGCAAAAUU